AUGAGAGAAAAAUGGGUCAUGAGAGUUAACUUGUUAGUCUUCCCUUCAGUUUGGCCCGCGCAACUUUUCAAGUGUAGCUCUACCACUGGUCAUGGGGUAUAUCGACGUCAUCUUCCUCAUACACUUGGCGGCGGCACCUACCGAAGAGUUUGGGCAGCCUCGGUAUUGCGGAUCUUGAAAGAUUUGGACACGCCCUGCGUCUACGUUGGCCAUGCUUGCAAUGGACAAACCAAGAGCGACCUUGGGUGGGAACCGAGCUUCCAUCAUGACAACUGGAGCGGCAGGGGAUCGCUCGCUAUUCUCGCGCCAGAGCUCUUCGAGAUCGCCUCUCAAAAGAAUAGGACAGUGCAACACGAGCUAGCAAAUGACAACUGGAUCAAAGCAAUGCCAAGGUUGAAUACGGGACAACAGCUAGGCGAAUAUGUUACCAUUUCAGACUGGAUCAGCCAGGUUCAUCUCUCCCCCAACCAGGAGGACUCCAUUCUAGAGAAGUGCGGAGACAACGUAGCGAGAUGCUCAUCUAUACUUUCAUGGGCCCUUUGGAAAGAGAGGAACAGACGUGUGUUCACAAGAUGUCGCAUGACUCACCACGAGGUGGCUAUUCUAGCCUUCAAGGACAUCAAGCAAUGGUUCCCCGCACCUCGUUGUGCCAGAAGGCAGCUGGAGGCAAGGAGAACUGAUGGCGGCGACACCUACGCAAAAACCCUAGCUGCCUUACUUUGGGGACAAGUGGGAGACGCCAAGAGAACCGUGCCAAAAGGCGGUUGGAAAACUCCACGAGGCCACGACCCCCAUCAUCCCUCGCCCACCUCCGGCCCGCCUUUUCCCCAUAAACCCCCUCGCUCUCCCGCAUUUCACAAACUCAUCAUUAUCUCGUUUCCCUUGAUCUCCUCUCUUCAACUCCCUGCCGACUCCCAAGUCCCAACUCCCCCAGCCCCCCCAGGUCUCACGCCGCCGGUCGCCGCCCUCCCGCCUCCGCCGCCCGCGAGAUCCCCAGAGCGACGGCCUUCCAGCCUCCCCCGUCCGGCCGCCUCCCUGCCGGAGGACCGGAGCCAGAUUGCUGGUCCCGCCCCGUCCCGUCCCCCCACUGGCCAGCGCCGUUCUCUGCUCCACUCAACCGGCGACCCCUCCCGCGGACGCGGCAGGCCGAGGCGUGAUGUGCGGAUCGGAGCAUGGACGUGA
rnacentral:rRNA from 1 species